rnacentral:tRNA from 1 species
UUCUAAUAUGGCAGAUA